UCUCCGUUGGUGAACCAGCGGAGGGAUCAUUACAGAGUUGCAAAACUCCCAAACCAUUGUGAACGUUACCUAUCCCGUUGCUUCGGCGGGCGGCCCGGGCCCCGCGCCCGGCGCCCCCCGGCCCCCCGUGGGGGCCCGCCGGAGGUAAACCAAACCCUUGAAUUGCAUGGCCUCUCUGAGUCUUCUGUACUGAAUAAGUCAAAACUUUCGACAACGGAUCUCUUGGUUCUG
rnacentral:misc_RNA from 1 species